CACGGAAGUGAAGUGUCCUGUUUGUCUGUUUGUCCAUUUUCGUCCGCACAAAAAGUCGACCAAAUUUCGCCAAGUCUCCUUGAGACACUUCCUCCAAUACUUCUCUGCCAGCUCUGCACGCCUUCGAAGCUCUGCUGUGAAGCAAACGGCUUUCUCGGGCGCGAAAGAACCACACGAAGACGGGACAGCUCCGAUAUUCUCCAGCCCUGUUUUCCGAGAAAUCAUUGCAACAUGCAGAUUCACAAGAACGGUGCGGAUGCCAGUGUGAACAACCAACAGCACGACAUGGACGGUCGCGAGCCCGCGGCUAUCCGGCGCUACCAGAACCGCCAACCUGUCCAGCAGGAUCCAACCAGCAAGGAUGCAAACACUCCGGUGCAGAUACGCAAUGGCAGCAGUGGAAAAGAAGAGCCAAAAGAAGACAACGGUGCUUGGGGACCAAUUUUCAAGAAUCGGGACCACUUUGUGGAAAUGCACAUCUGCUAGUUCCACCCAGAUAACGUUGAACACCGGGGCCAACUGUGUGCUUAGCCUGGUCAGCAUCUUUUGAGAGUCCAAAUCAAAUUCUUCUUAACAGAAUACAUGUAGAUCGGCUCAGUGUAGUUUCAAACAAACCUGCUUUCUUCAAGUGGUCAACUCUAUUUCAGACAUUUUUGUUUUCUUCAACAAUGUAAUCUGGGGGUUAUAUUACUAGCCCAUUGUUUUGUUCUGGAUUUACACCUUUAGUUACAAAGAAAGUAAUGAGCAAAACUGGACUUUUUAUAGAGAAGGGUUUGUGACAGAUGUGAUGAUUGGACAGGAGCUUGAUGAUGAUUGGUCAUUGCAGCUGAGCAUGUGAUUGGUCCUGGUGGGUCAUGUGGUGUUAUGGGUAAACAGGAAGUUUAAUUUGGUCAAAAUAUUGUAAUAAGAUUAGAACUUUUACAGUUGUCAUAAUUAGGGUAGUUGUUUGUGAUCUUUAUGGUACUCAUAGUAGUCAAGCCUCCCUUUUAAAGUGGAAUUGUCUACAUUUUUAACACCUUACCAUUUUCUUAAACUUUCACCUGAAUUGAUGAGUAGAUUUUCCAAUCUCACCUUUAAGAAGGUUUCAGUCUCCCCUUUAAAAUACUUUUCAAUACAAUACUCAUUUUUGAAUACCAGUACAUUUUCAGCCAGGUACCAAUGGCUCAACUGCACAUCUUUAGCAUAACUGUCUGCAGUGCACAUAGAAGCACCAACAGUGCAAUGGAAGGAUGGAAAUAUUAAAAGUGCAUUGAAUUUCUUGAUUUCUUUGUAAGGAGUUGGUCACUUUUAAGGACAUUGUGCUACAAAUGUAUACUCUUAUUGAAUAUAGUUUGUCACACUCAUGCUGAGUGUUAGUUCCUACAAGUUUUCAUCUUAGGUAUAUGGUUUUCUUAAAGCUAGUACCCAAGAAAACUUGUAAGAAACAAUCUUGUCCUUCACAGAGAGCCAAGUUUUAAUCAGAUUCAUGUAAUGUAAUAAAGUACAUAAUGUCAAA